rnacentral:other from 1 species
ACCCUGCGGUGUGCGUAAUAUAGCCAUUUAUUUUACCAACACAUUUUUAAAGGGAUUCUUGCUCUCUGUGUGGAUUGCAGGCCUCCCUAAAUGGAAGAGGAAGCGCGAAGCACAGAGGCGGUUGCCCACCUGCUUAGGCAGGUAAUAUAAAGGCGUCACUUACGGCUCGGCGGGGCAU